AGGGGACCCGCGCUUGUGCCACAUCAGCUCGUCUCUCUGGGAAGCAUCUCUUGCGUGCGCCACGGAGUUCCUCCAUCCGUCCUCUGAGGUUGGUUGUGUAUGCGAGCUCAGUGGAGGAGGCAGCCAGGGGUACGAGUGGAGGAGCAGGAGGGGGCUCUUCACCGAGAGGAUGCCACCCUGGUUGGGUCUCGUCGCAGCCUGGACCCUCUGUACUCUCGGCGUGGAAACUGUGCAAGACAGGCUGAUGCCGCAGAUUGAGGCAAAGCACUACUACAACUGCGAGGGAGCUGGUCCAUACAUGGUCCAUCGCUCGGACUGCUCGCAGGUUCCACAGACCUGGGCCAUCUACAAGGACCAGCAGGAGGUGAUCGCGAAGUACCACCAACUCCACGUGCGUGAAGCCGUGCGUCGCCGUCUUCUCAAACUGCACGCUCAUCCUGUCACGCUGCCCGGCCGUGUUACUGCAGGUGGCGAACACAAGCUCUGUGUACAUCUCCGACACCGCCAUUGUGAACCCUCCGGAGGCCCUGGUCAGGCCAGGAAAGUCCAUCACCCUCAAGUGCUUCAAUAAAAACGGACGCAUUCCCAGCGGGUGGAGCUGGAAUGGAGUGGCCAUAGGCGGCUCGGCCAACGUCUCAUCGAUUCUCGUGCCGAUCAGGAGCCCAGCAGACGGAGGGCGGUUCAGCUGCGUGUUCCCGGAGUUUGAGAGCACCCCAGCCCUCAUCCUCACAGAGGCGUCCGGUUUUGAGCAAGUCUCGACUGCGUUCCUCGUGUCUGCCCUGCUGGUGGUGGCCAUCGUGGUGAUAUUCAUUGCGCGGAGAGACGUAAACUCGAGUAGCCUGCUGUGACGUGACCUCCUCCUCACCUGAACACGGACACAUGAGGAUUACCAGUCCAAGCCAGCAGCAUUAAACCGCUUGUCUUGCUGAACUCCAAGGAGAUUAAAGCAGACCCAAUCUGUGCACCUGUACACUGGGUAGAUGGCAUCAUCCACAGCACAUUCACCAACAACACUUUGGCGUUAAAGGGAAACAAAUCUAGAAAAUAGGUAAUGACAACUUCACAUUUUUAUAUUUCAUAUUUUACCGAGAUGGAACAUCUCAUUUGCCAGUGUGUCCAGGGUGUAGAGCAGGGGUGGAGAACGUCUGGCCCGCGGGCCGUAUAAGGCCCGCAAAAUCAUUUGGUCUGGCCCUGCCAAGGCAACUGCAGGCGGGACUCGAAAUCUAGGAGCAAACCUGGAAAAGCAGUUGCGAGUAGCAACAUCAUCAAUACCAGCUAACAUCACACGCCUCGCCAAAGAGAAGCAGUUCCAGCCAUCACAUUAGGGGUGAGUUGAAUAAAUGUUUGACCAAAUAUAACUUCAACCGAGAGCAUGGGUACAAACUAAGCAAUCAUUGGAAGGACGUUAUUAACUAGGUAAAGACUGUGAUGUUUCCAUCCAAUCUGCCUAUGUCAGCUGUUAUCUCGACUCUCUGUGUCUCUCUCACUAUGCCUCUCUCUUAGAUCUUUUAUGCUCACAUGUCCGUUGCAUUGCCCUCUCAUGCCUUUGGAUUGCACUCUCAUGCUCACAUGUCUUUUGGAUUGCACUCACAUACUCACAGGCCCUGCGGAUUACACCCGUUGGGUUGCACUCCCUCGUCGAGGAGGCCGCUCUUCUUCUCCUUUUCUACAGUUACAUGCUUAUUUUUCACGUUAACAUCAUGCUAAUCUCUCACAUUAACAUCAUGCUAAUCUCUCACAUUAACAUAGCCACUUCCGUGCCCUCUAAUUUCUCACAUUAACAUCAUGCUAAUCUCUCACAUUUACAUAGCCACUUCCGUGCCCUCUAAUUUCUCACAUUAACAUCAUGCUAAUCUCUCACAUUAACAUAGCCACUUGCGUGCCCUCUAAUUUCUCAUAUUAACAUCAUGCUAAUCUCUCACAUUAACAUAGCCAUCUCCGUGCCCUCUAAUUUCUCACAUUAACAUCAUGCUAAUCUCUCACAUUAACAUAGCCACUUCCAUGCCCUCUAAUUUCCCACAUUAACAUCAUGCUAAUCUCUCACGUUAACAUAGCCACUUCCGUGCCCUCUAAUUUCUCACGUUAACAUCAUGCUAAUCUCUCACAUUAACAUAGCCACUUCCAUGCCCUCUAAUUUCUAACGUUAACAUCAUGCUAAUCUCUCACAUUAACAUAGCCACUUCCGUGCCCUCUAAUUUCUCACGUUAACAUCAUGCUAAUCUCUCACAUUAACAUAGCCACUUCCGUGCCCUCUAAUUUCUCACGUUAACAUCAUGCUAAUCUCUCACAUUAACAUAGCCACUUCCGUGCCCUCUAAUUUCUGACAUUAACAUCAUGCUAAUUUCUCACAUUAACAUAGCCACUUCCGUGUCCUCUAAUUUCUCACGUUAACAUCAUGCUAAUCUCUCACAUUAACAUAGCCACUUCCAUGCCCUCUAAUUUAUCACAUUAACAUCAUACUAAUCUCUCAAAUUAACAUAGUCACUUCCGUGCCCUCUAAUUUCUCACAUUAACAUCAUGCUAAUCCAUCACAUUAACAUAGCCACUUCCGUGCCUUCGUCGAGGAGGCCGCUCUCCUAUCUUACAAAUUUCUCACAUUAACAACACUAGCCCCGGCCACUUGUUUAUGACCCUUGAGCUACACCCAUUUCAAACCUUUUAAAACAGUCUGCCUCAGCAGCAGACCAUGCUUUCCCACCUGAUGAUGGACGCUUGUGUUGCGCCCGAAACGUUGUGAUUUAUUUGAUUUUAUACCGUGGCUUUACCGAAAGAACCAAAGAGUAUGGAUUGCUGCAGUCACGAAAGCUUCAAAUCAAGAUCAAAUUUUCACAGGCUAAUUUUUAAGUUGAUAAUUUUGUAUGGCCCGCGAAUGAUGUUAUAAAUAUCCAAACGGCCCUUGGCAGAAAACAAUUUCCCCACCCCUGGUGUCGACAGACGCAUCGUACAUGGUUUGUGCUCGUUUGUUCCAUCUCGUUUGUCCAAUGUUGUUCUCUCUUUAACCUUAAUAUAACAUGAGUAUCUAAUUUGCAUAUCAGUUGCUCAAUUGUAAGUAAUUGAUUAUUACAGUCACAAAUCGACCCCUUGUCCUCAGCGUAAGCGUUUUUGUAAAAUCGAGGAGGCAUUGACGCGUGCCUGGGGAAUUACGCGUUUCCAGAAAAUGUGAUUUUCACUGUUGGGAUGUGGUUUGUACCACGUGGCCAAGGCUGCCACUCCAACAAAGUCCGAAUUGACCUCUAAUGGACAGAUUACACUUAUUCUUCACGUAAGUCACCAGAGAAGUUUAGUGGUUUGAAGUUUGCACUUUGGGUGAGAAGCAGGAGACAUGGUACAAUUAUAUUUCGAACCAUGCUGAAAAUUUCUAGAUUUGGAACUCUAAUCAGCACAUUAAUGAUAUGUGCUAUAAAGAAGGAAAGGCCAUUCAAAUGAGUCGAGAUGUUUGUUAUUUGCGCUUGACCACCGCUGCCAACGCAGCAGCAUCACCAAUGUAAUGUGUUAAAUCGAUAGACAUCGGAGUGUCGCCGUUGUCGCGACAACCAGUUAAAUGUUUACUUAGUUGCAGUUGCACGGGGCGUCCGCCAGAGGGCGCCACCGCUAACUCAAUGGGGGGGUGUAGCGAUAUCAAAUUGUGAAACAAAACUUUGGAGAUCGUUAUCAACCAGGCUAUGCGUUAACUGCGUGUUAGCCGAAGCUCUGUGUUGCAUUACAUUACAUUUCCAAAAGAUUUGCUAAAUUUUGUUUUCUCAAACGAUUUCUCGCUCUAAAAUUUACCAGGCUCUCAUAGGGCCAUUCGAUCUUCUUCUUUCCCUCGGUCGCUUCGGGGUGGAUUCAUUGACUUGCUAAUUCCUCUGCUCCAACAGCUGCCCCAGCAGACCCACCUCUCUCUCUGCCUCCCCCUCUCUCUCUAUUUAAGGCAUCGACACAGAGGCAUUAUUGGGUCUCUGUGUGUCUAUGUUGUGUGUCUCUCUCUGUGUGUGUCUGUGUUGUCUCUCUCUGCUUGUGAAACUAAACUCGUUGGCAAUGGGCCGAGAGUGCUGCCCUUCGUGUCGGGGUGUAUGCGUCCGUCACGGACAGCCGCAGGUUGUGGCAACGCCCUUGAAUUCCUCACGCGCCGACUCAUCACGGGAAUAUCACAAGCGCGUCAAUCACUCGGGGUAUCUCUUAAUUCAGAAUUCACGAGUUUUACUCUUGUUAGAGACUUGUGAACUUAAUUUUAGUUUUUCAUACGUAUCAAAUGUAAUUUUUUGAACGCCAUUCGAGACCAUAAUUUUUGCGAAGUUAAUUGUCAAGCAGUAAUGAUGACAAUGCCCUUUGUUUAUCCAUGAAAGCCUCACGGAGUCUCAAGGCUGUCUGUCAGGGCGGUGGUUGUUGAGAGAGCAAUUAUCAGUGAGAAGUAUUGUCUCAAUAUAAAUCUAGGGCGGUGGUGGUGGUGCCAGCUCCAUUAGAGGCCCUUGGCAAAAAAUAUUCUUGGUUGUGCCACGUGGCAAAAAAAAAACAUAGGCGUGCCAAGCUGCAUAGCUUAAAUAUUUGUGAAAUAAUGAAGGUAAUUGACUCAUUACAAUGAAAUGCAUAUUAGCAGUACUGUGUCGGUAUGAAUUAGCUUUUUAAUAUAUGAAAUUGAGUUCGAUAUAUGGUGGAGCUCUAAACAAUUGCUCGGUUUUUUACACUGUGAGACCUCUUUUACCAGUGGCAAAAUGUAGUAAUAGGUUUUUACCCUUUUAACUGGUACAAACACUGACACCUUUAUACAAGGGAUCAUGUUUGCAAUAACCACAACACAAGCAGUCAAAAUGCAAACAAAAAGAAACAACUCUGAUAAUGAUAUGCACUGUCCUUGAAGUUGAUUGGUCCACACCCGA